GUGCUGGCUUUGGCAGCAUAUAUACUAAAAUUGGAACUGUAUAGAAAACACUAGCAUGGCCUCUGGGCAAGGAUGACAUGCAAAUUCGUGAAGAAUGUAAGGAUAUA
ensembl:snRNA U6 U6 spliceosomal RNA